AUCGGCUACUAGAUGACAGGCUCCUCGACUGCUGGCCGCUCCAAGUGUAUUGAACAAUCGUAGGCAAAAAGUAAAUCCUCUGCUUGAUUAAGUGUGUGGCAACGGGCACGAGGAAGACCUGCGACCAACCCGUUCUUCAUGAUGCGUGGACGAGUGCGGCACCACUUGGUUGUUUGUAAACACUCGAUGGAUGCUGGUCAUAAGUGAAGCUGCUUUUGUGCCUUACACUCUCUACAAAGCUACUGAGCAGUGAUUAUUAUCCGGCGUUGUUACAGAUUGGUAUCGCGAACAACCUCCUUACAUAAACAUCAUCUACAUGCGUGAUCCGGGAGUGUGGCUGUAUGGAAACGAUAAAGAAAUCGUCUAAAAUAGCUUAGUACCAAUAACAAAACGGUGGUGUGCCACAGCUUGGUAUAUAUAUAUCGAUUUUAUUCAGGCGUUAGAAGCAGCUAAACGUUCUUUUUAAGCGAAUUAAAACUAAAACGUUGCUAUUUUUACGCUAAUUAACGAUUGUGUUUGUAAGCACAGGUUUCUGUAUGAUCGAUACAAGUGUUCUUUUCCUAGUGAAUUUUUUAUAAUUGAUACAUUCCAAUGCACAAUAUACCAAUUUAGUUUUUUUUAGUAGAAUAAAGCUUUUAUAUCGAAACUGCAACUCACUCGCCUAUAAAUAAAACCCUUGAACGCUUACUGA